AGAUUGAACGCUAGCGGGAUGCUUUACACAUGCAAGUCGAACGGCAGCGCGGACUUCGGUCUGGCGGCGAGUGGCGAACGGGUGAGUAAUAUAUCGGAACGUGCCCAGUAGCGGGGGAUAACUACGCGAAAGCGUGGCUAAUACCGCAUACGCCCUACGGGGGAAAGGGGGGGAUUCUUCGGGACCUCUCACUAUUGGAGCGGCCGAUAUCAGAUUAGCUAGUUGGUGAGGUAAAGGCUCACAAGGCGACGAUCUGUAGCUGGUUUGAGAGGACGACCAGCCACACUGGGACUGAGACACGGCCCAGACUCCUACGGGAGGCAGCAGGUGGGAAUUUGGACAAGUGGGGGAAACCUGAUCCAGCCAUCCGCGUGUGCGAUGAAGGCCGUGGUUGUAAGACUACGUUAGUCGAGGAAGAAACGGACGCGACCGUAA
rnacentral:rRNA from 1 species